rnacentral:lncRNA from 1 species
AUGCUAAAGGGAAAAGGGCCCCUUGGCUGCAGGAGGCAGGUGUAUUCCCCUCUCCAGAGUGGCUGUCAUUGCCCACUUGGGCUGUUUUCAUGAGAAGAAGAGGUUCCAGGUGAGGUGGGAACAGAGCUGAACUGGGAGAAGGAGGAGAAAGUGCUUACCUGGAUACUGGCUGGAGGCAGGUGUCAGUUGACCCCAAAGAGCAAGGAGCCCCACGAGGAGAAGGCCACCCCACCACAGGGUGAACAAGCUACGGGAAGCCUGGGCAAUGUCCUGGGGCUCAGCCAGGUAUGGUCGGACCCUGCGUGGUUUGGUGUAAGAAUGACUGGUCAUGCCCUGGAGUUCAGAAGUGCUGCGGGAGUUGCCCACGAGCUUGUGCUUAUCCUGUCAGAGGUGAGUCUGUUUAUUCUGCGGAGGGUGGGGUGGGAUAGGAAGCUCUUCUUCUUCAUGAAUCAAGGCCAUUGUGACUUAUGAAGAAUUGCAGAAUCUCUAAACUCAGAAGUGCUUACCUGGAUUCUGGAUGGAGGCAGGAGUCAGCUGAGGCAAGGAGCCCCACAAGGAGGAGAAGGCCACCACAACACAUGAUGGACAGGCUUUGUCUGCUGCCUAGACCAUCAGUUGACUAGAACUUUCAGGUUGGAAAGGCAGCCCAAGAGUCAGUGAGGGUUUUGCUCUUUUGCAGAGAAGCCUGAACAAUGCCCUCCGAAUCGAGGUGUGGG